UCAAAAAAUAGUUUAAUUUAGAAUUUUAAUUUUGGGGAUUAAGGGUAUAUAAAAUAGAUUAGUAUUUUUUUG
rnacentral:tRNA from 1 species